UGAGGUAUGUAUUGGUGUGUGUGAUUUACUGUGGUGUAUGAUGUGUGCACCUCACAAUUUUAGUGAACUGUGGUGUAUUCAAUAUGUGGGUAUGUUAUAUGUGUGUGAGAUAGUGUUGAUGAUGAAGUGGGUGUAUGGUGUGAGUAUAAAAAAUGGAGUAGUAUUUGUUCCUCUUCUCCCUUUUCUGUGAGCAUCUUCCCUUUCUGGAAUGUGUAAUUUGUCUAUAUGGUC
rnacentral:lncRNA from 1 species